AUGAAGGGUGGAGAGCUUAGAUUGGAAAGUAUAAUUGCCCAGGGAUUUCUUUGUUCGGGGUCCCUCUUCGGAGGCACCCAGCCUGAGCUGUAAUUCGAACGGAGUCAGCAGAACAUCAUCAGACUCGGAGUGGUGAACGGUUCAAUAUGGGAAGGCAGGGACUGAAGAAGAAAAGAAUAAGGAGAAGAAACAGCCAGGAACAGAAGGAGAGAGAAAGAGAUGGAAAGAUAGUUUUGACAAACAUUUCAAUUUCAUUCAUAACAAAAAGGUUCAUGUCAAGAGUUUUUUACUUAAUAGAGAUUGCUGUUGACUUCUAUCUAUUCCAUCCUUUUAACCCAUCAGAAAUGGAACUGGGAUAGUUCUAAACAGUUUGUUGUUGACAAGUCUAUAUCUAUGCUGAUGUUUAUUUCACUAUUUUAUUCAACAUAAUUACACAUUGUUUGUUUAAUAAUUAACUGGAAGCAUCUUUCUGUGCAUUGAUGUUAUGUUCAUUGGUAUAUACUUCCACGGGUUCUUCUUUUCACUUCUGUUAAAAGUUGAUUUAUCUAUGCAUCUUUUACUAGUCCUCUGAUACCUAAAUGAAACCCCUUCAGCUAUCGAAAACAAUAAAUAAAAGUUCAUAGAAAACUAUAAGAAGUCAUGUAAUUGCUUUAGAUACAUUUCAUGAAGCCCUGCAGUACUGAAUAUCGCAAGCUUUGCCUAAAUACUCUUUAAACUAUUCUCUCUCCAUUCUGGCC